CUAGGCCAUCUUUUGAUACAUAUGCAGCUAAAGACAAGAGCUCCCGGGUACUGGUUAGUUCAUAUUGUUGUUCCACCUGUAGGGUUGCAGUUCCCUUUAGCUCCUUGGGUAAUUUCUCUAGCUCCUCCAUUGGGGGCCAUGUGACCCAUCCAAUAGCUGACUGUGAUCAUCCACUUCUGUGUUUGCUAGGCCCCGGCAUAGUCUCACGAGAGAGCUAUAUCUGAGUCCUUUCAGCAAAAUCUUGCUAGUGCAUGCAAUGGUGUCAGCAUUUGGAAGCUGAUUAUGGGAUGGAUCCCUGCAUAUGGCAAUCACUAGAUGGUCCAUCCUUUCGUCACAGCUCCAAAUUUUGUCUCUGUAACUCCUUCCAUGUGUGUUUUGUUCCCAUUUCUAAGAAAGGGUAAAGUGUCCACACUUUGGUCUUCGUUCUUCUUGAAUUUCAUGCGUUUGGCAAGUUCAAAAACCCUAUCUUCUUAACAGCAUUCCCUCUGCCACGGAAUGCUCUCCUUUUGAAAAUUGGUGGAGAUAUGUGAGAACUUUUCAAUGAUGUUUAUCGUUUUAAAGAGUUAAUAAUUGAUUUCAGUUUUUUUGUUUGUUCGUUUGUUCGUUUGUUUGUUUGUUUGUUUGUUUGUUCGAGACAGGAUUUCUCUGUGUCGUGGCUGUCCUGGAACUCACUCUGUAGACCAGGCUGGCCUCAAACUCAGAAAUCCACCUGCCUCUGCCUCUCAAGUACUGGGAUAAAGGCGUGUGCCACCACUGACCAUGAUUUCAAUUUUUGAAUGUGAUUUUCUUUAAAUCUAUCUCUAAUAUUGUCUCUUAAUCGUUUUCAUUUUCCAGUACUUCCCAGUCAUUAAAAAUUCCUUUUCAUUUUUAAAGAGUGCUGUUGAUUAUUUAUUUCUGUUUAGAGCAUUAUCUCCUGGACCAUAGGCUGGCUCCUACUCUGUAAUUUAGAAUUAAUGUGAUCUUCCAGUCCUGUCUCUGCUGCCACAAGCUUGGGUGUCAGUCCUGCACCUCUCCCAGCCUGGGCCUUGACUGCAUUGAAAGGAAAGAUAGGCCAGUGAAUGAUUGCCAUCCAACUUCUGUUUUCUGUUGGGACUGUCCAAUGAAGCUGCACCUGUGCACGAAUUGAAUUUUGUGACCAACUUUGAAAUAUGUUUAGUCACAGCCCAGAAAGGGUCAGGACAAAGGAGGUGAUAAUAUCUCUGCUUUGACAGUACUUAAGAUUCACAUUGAGGUAAUCAAUUUUAAAUGAUUGAUAACUGUCCUGCUGGCCCAUUUUUCUAUCCACCCCAGGCAAUCAAGAAUCUGGAUAAAAAGCUGAACUGUCUAAAAUGUCAAAUUACUUUAGUUACACUAGUUCUACCAAGAAUAAUAUCUAGGUAAUGAUUGUCUUGCUACCAAAUAAGACAAUUUUGUGGGUUUUUUUUUUUACAGUUUUAAGAUGAUCAUCCUGAGGGCUGGCAAUAUGACUCAGUGGGUAAGAGCACUGACUGCUCUUAUGAAGGUCCUGAGUUCAAAUCCCAGCAACAUGGUGGCUCACAACCACCCGAAGUGAGAUCUAACACCCUCUUCUGGUGUGUCUAAAGUCAGCUACAGUGUACUUAGAUAUAAUAAUAAAUAAAUCUUAAAAAAAAUUAAAAGAUCCUCCUGAGAGACUAGGCCUGAAUAAUAUUUGGUGUGCUCUAAUACACUUCCCUCCUUUCUGGAGCACAUAAUCAUCAAGCCUUUUCCACUUUUGAAACUGUAUUUCCCAUUAUACUUACAGCAUUCCCACCAUCUCCCUUUUGUCUCCGAAUUCCUUCAUCCAUCGACAAUUCUUUGUUUUUCAUGAGGGCCAUUUCUCCUUGAACAACAGUUACAGUUUGAAUGUGACCUAUGUUUGCCUGCAGGACUUCCCAGCUAUGAAGCUAAUUGAUGGCUGAACUCACUGUAGGUGUGUAAGAGAAUGUACACAUGAUGUACCCUGUUCCUUGAUUGAAUAAAUCAAGUACACAUGCUCUGGAAGAUUGCAAGAUCUCCUUCAUAUCUAAAAUUUCCCAGUCUAGGACCCUGUCUGCACCCAUUGUGGAAUGGCAGAGCUCAAUAUGCCUGGCCUAUCUGAGUCAUUUGAUCUCUUCCCAUCCAGUAGCAGUGCUGCUACUUUCCUGAGGUCCAGCAAGGUGACCCUAGAUAGUGAUGGAUGCUGGAAAAAGCUAACACUCAGUAGCUACAGUAGGAGGAACCUUGUGGGUUCAUUCUAAGAUUCUCCUCUGAAGCAGCCCUACAAGCAAUACUGUGCUGAGUGUGGCAGCCAGUGUUUAGGAUGGUAAAUUCCAUGGUCAGGAAGAGCAGGUUGGCUGAGCUAUCAGAAUCUGAUCUGCUGGAACUGGGAAGGGUUGUUAGAGAGACAGUAGUCCUGCUCAUACAUGUAGUGACCUGGGCAGAGGAAAAUUAUACCACUAAGUAUGGUUUAACACAGAAAACAAAGGGAGUGAAAAUAAAACAUGGUCCAGAAUUGAACUGUGAAUCUCUCUGUGGUAGGGGAU
rnacentral:lncRNA from 1 species